GCAUGGAACAAAUAAGACAAUAAAAAAAUAUAUAUAUCGACACCUUUAUUUGAUUGUAAAACAGAAUCGCAUUUUCUUUCUGGUUGUGGAUAAUGAAAUAAAUCCCAGACCUGUUAUGGUUAACAUAUUGCGGCUACUUGUUUUGUCUUACAAUAUUGAACUAUUGUUAACUAAUCAAAAUAGACUUGGUCGGUCGUGCUUACAUAACAAAUCAUUAAAGUAUGCCAUUCCUGUGUGUAUCUUAUUCGAGAUAUUUUCAUGUCAAUAUUUCUAAUCGUUGUAAUAAAAGAGUUU
rnacentral:lncRNA from 1 species